rnacentral:rRNA from 1 species
UACAGAGACUGCAAGCGUUAUUCGGAUUCACUGGGCGUAAAGGGUGCGCAGGCGGUCGGGUGUGUCAGAUGUGAAAUCCCGAGGCUCAACCUCGGAACUGCGUCUGAAACUACUCGACUAGAGUACUGGAGAGGGUAACGGAAUUCACGGUGUAGCAGUGAAAUGCGUAGAUAUCGUGAGGAACACCAGAGGCGAAGGCGGUUCUCUGGGCCUGUACUGACGCUGAGGAGCGAAAGCGUGGGGAGCGAACAGG